rnacentral:rRNA from 1 species
GAAAUUGAAAAGAACUUUGAAGAGAGAGUUCAAAAGGGCGUGAAACCGCUUAGAAUAAAACGGACGGAGCCGUCUGUGACCGUUCGGAAUCAGUCGAAUCGACGCGCGAAUUCGAGUCGACGCGUAUACGGAACGCAAGUCCCGUCGUCUCGUAUAGAACGUUCGUUCGAUGCAUUUCCGAAUGGUAAGCGCCGCGACCGAUGUCGAAGGCUAUCGAGACUGCGAGAUUGAGGUCGAGCGCAUUCGCGCGUCUCGUUACCAGUCUUUCAGAUUUCGUUAGACCCGCUGGCAUCGAGAUAAAACGAUGAUGUACGUCGGUGAUAAUACACUCGCCUGUUACGAUGGAAGUUGGGCCGUACGGCCGUCGCUUGCUCGCAGGUUACGGUUCGUAUCCGGUCUUUCCGCAAGUCGUCGGCGAUGCUCCGUCGUACUGGUGUCCGCGGCGUCUGAGUCGGUCACCCGUCCGACCCGUCUUGAAACACGGACCAAGGAGUCUAACGUAUACGCGAGCUAAUGGGUGGAAAACCCAUAAGCGCAAUAAAAGUAAAAGCCGUUUCGGACGGCCUAGGUACGAUCCCGAAUACGAGACAAUUAUUCGGGCGCAGUACCGUCCCGUCCCGACCGCUCGUCGGUAGGGCGGAGAUAGAGUGCAUACGUUGGGACCCGAAAGAUGGUGAACUAUGCCUGAGCAGAGCGAAGCCAGAGGAAACUCUGGUGGAGGUUCGUAGCGGUUCUGACGUGCAAAUCGAUCGUCAGACUUGGGUAUA